rnacentral:rRNA from 1 species
UGGCUCAGGACGAACGCUGGCGGCGUGCCUAAUACAUGCAAGUCAAACGGGCUAUAGCUUCGGUUGUAGCAGCGUGGCGAACGGGUGAGUAACACGUAGACAACCUGCCUUAGAGAUGCGGAUAACAGUUCGAAAGGACUGCUAAUAGGUGAUAGGAUAUAGGAAGGCAUCUUCUUAUAUUUAAAGUUCCGUUUGGAACACUCUAAGAUGGGUCUGCGGUGCAUUAGCUAGUUGGUGAGGUAACGGCCCACCAAGGCAACGAUGCAUAGCUGUGCUGAGAGGCAAAACAGCCACACUGGGACUGAGACACGGCCCAGACUCCUACGGGAGGCAGCAGUAGGGAAUUUUCGGCAAUGGGCGAAAGCCUGACCGAGCAAUGCCGCGUGAAUGAAGAAAUUCUUCGGAAUGUAAAGUUCUGUUAUUGAGAACGAAUGGCAGGGAUAGGAAAUGAUCUCUGUUUGACGGUACUUGAUGAGAAAGCCCCGGCUAACUAUGUGCCAGCAGCCGCGGUAAUACAUAGGGGGCGAGCGUUAUCCGGAUUUAUUGGGCGUAAAGCGUGCGUAGGUGGUCUUUUAAGUCUGACGUGAAAUGCCAAAGCUUAACUUUGGAGGGUCGUUGGAAACUGGAGGACUUGAAUCUAGAAGAGGUAAGUGGAAUUCCAUGUGUAGCGGUAAAAUGCUUAGAUAUAUGGAGGAACACCAGUGGCGAAGGCGGCUUACUGGUCUAGUAUUGACACUGAGGCACGAAAGCGUGGGUAGCAAACAGGAUUAGAUACCCUGGUAGUCCACGCCGUAAACGAUGAGCACUAAGUGUCGGGCGAAAGCUCGGUGCUGAAGUUAACGCAUUAAGUGCUCCGCCUGGGGAGUACGGUCGCAAGACUGAAACUCAAAGGAAUUGACGGGGACUCGCACAAGCGGUGGAGCAUGUGGUUUAAUUCGACGCAACGCGAAAAACCUUACCAGGCCUUGACAUCCCUCUGCAACCCCUAGAGAUAGGGGCCUCACUUCGGUGACAGAGGUGAUAGGUGGUGCAUGGUUGUCGUCAGCUCGUGUCGUGAGAUGUUGGGUUAAGUCCCGCAACGAGCGCAACCCUUAUCAUUAGUUGCUAACAGUCAGAUGAGCACUCUAAUGAGACUGCCAGCGAUAAGUUGGAGGAAGGUGGGGAUGACGUCAAAUCAUCAUGCCCCUUAUGGCCUGGGCUACACACGUGCUACAAUGGCCGGUACAAAGAGCAGCAAUGCCGUGAGGCGGAGCAAAUCUCAAAAAGCCGGUCUCAGUUCGGAUUGUAGUCUGCAACUCGACUACAUGAAGUUGGAAUCGCUAGUAAUCGCGAAUCAGCAUGUCGCGGUGAAUACGUUCUCGAGUCUUGUACACACCGCCCGU